CCCAAACUCACCCUACGUCCGCCCCACUCCCCCUCCAAAAAGACCCUUAGUCUACUGCUGAUCAAAAUCUGAAACUGCUAUAAAAAAUUUAUGGAAAAGAGAAAAACGUUUGUCACCUCCGCCGGCAUCAACUGCUCAUCUUAGAGUUUCUUCUCAUCAAGAUUCAGUCGUUCUCCAGUUGGGUUCUCAAAAAUUUAGAGCCUUAGAAGGAUAAAUCUCAAUGCGUGAAAAUUAGGCAGUGGUUUUGACGAUCGAAGCUUAACAGUAAUUUGCAUUGUUUUGGUGUUACCUUAUAAAGGAAACAUAUGGAAAUGAAUCUUCUGAUUCUAGUGAUGAAGAUUUUGAGGGUGGUCCUUCACCCAAGGAGAGAGAGAUCAGAAGUGCCAAAGCUACUAUGACUUCUCCUAGUUCGACUUUAGUAGACACAAAGUACCAAAGUGGGAAGCAAAAAGGGAGUAGACAUGCUUCUGAUAGGGGUCUCUGUGAGAAACUCAAAAUUGGAGGCAUGGACACCUCUGAACUUCAUUCAAGUGGUAAAAAGAAAACAUAUAGGGAAGGUGCCAUCAAGAGGCUCUACGAAUCCUUCAAGGAAAAUCAGUAUCCUGACCGUGAUGCAAAUGAGAAGUUGGGUAAAGAAUUAGGCCUAACAGCUCACCAGGUUUUAUGAGUUCUCCCUGGCAUAUAUUAAUUUCAGCUUCGUCCGCAUUUUCUCCACUUGUAUCUUCGAUUUUGCUUCGCUGCUACCUUCUUUUUUCUUAGUUUCUUUUUGUCAAAUAUACAAGUCAGUAAAUGGUUUGAAAAUGCUCGUCAUUGCCAUCGUCAUUCUUCUCGCUGGGACUCAAUUAUGAGUUAAAAAGUGUCGAAAGAAUCUCCUUCCUCACCAAAUAUAAUGGGAGAACCACUUGGAAUUGAAUCUCUAUAUGUGGUAAAGUUAAAGUUGAACAGAGUAGCAUUUCUUAUAUAAUGUUGGGAUAAAUAUAAAAUAUGCAUUUAUUUUCUGCUCUAUGAGCUAUUUACAUUACCAACAAGAAAACAAAUCAAACAAAUUGUUAGUAACUCAUGAAAGGGGAACACUUUUAGAUGUUUAAACUUCUGAGCAUUCUUCCAAUCUUGCGUUGUCUUCCUUUAAAGUGAACGUCUUAAUUCUUUUUGUGUUUCCUCCCCGAGUAAUGAAUUAUAUUGUUCCUUGAGCCUUGCUUUAAACUUGGAUUUUUUUUUAAUUAUGCCCAAUCUUUGCUUUACAUAAUCCACGUGAGAUAACUGCUGGGAGUCUGAAUUUAGUUUUAGAUUCUGCACCCUCCUGUUAUUUGGAUGACAAUAUAUGGACCUGAAAAGGCCAAGAUCUUUUCAUAUAUUUUAAAGCUAAGUCACUUAUACGCAUCAAUCAACUAUGCCCAUAGUAACUAGUUUUGAUCAUACUUCCCCGUCUAUUUGAUUCUAAUUCUAACUGGAUUCACAAGAAUCCUAGGAGAUUGUAGCUCCAUGGAAUCAUAUUUUAGCUUUAAAAUUUUGAUAAAUUAUUCUGUGACCAGAGUAUCAAUUUGAGCCUUGCUUCUUGAGAGGUAUAUUUACCACUACUAAGUAGUUGGGAAGCGUCACCAGGGGCGGAUCCAGCCAUCUAGUACCGGGUUUAACUGAACCCAGUGCUUUUAUUGUGGAGUAUAAAUUUAUGUGUAAAAAUUUAUUAAAAUUACAAUAAAUAGUAAAUAUGAACUCAUAAAUUUAAAAAUAUAAUGAUGUAAUGCUAAAAACCUUAAUGGUUGAACCCAUAGAAUUUAAAUCUUGGAUUCGCCUCUGCGUCACGCCUCAUUUACAAGACAGUUAGGUGUAUUUGUUCGUGAUCAUUAAAUGUGUCCAUUGAGGGUAUACUCAUGGGCGGACAUCGAAGAAGAUAAGCUGGAACAGAGGAAGCUAUUACUGUAAGGAUUUAGAGCAUCAUUUUCUUGAUUUAUUUUUCAAGCUUGAUGCAUGUCAAAUAACUUGUGUUUGUUGCUGGUUGUGAACAUUAUAUGUGAGACCUUGGACUCACUCUUUUUCCAUCUUUACAGCCACGCGCCAAUAAUCUUUCCAAUAUUUCAUCCUUUUAGACACCCAUACUCACUAAUCUGGUUUCUUUCAGUGGUUGUGGGGAUUAUUAUGCUCGAUGCUCUAAAAUCCUUGUAGUAUUAAUCUUUUGUUUCAUAAUAUUUGUAUUUUCAAUUAUUAUGCUCGCUGCAUUAAUGGAGAUUGAGACUGUCAUCAGAUGCUUUAAAUGAGAAUUACUUAAUUAGAAGUUGUGUAUUAAUCUUCUGAAGUAGCUUGAAAGUCUUACUUUCUCAUGCUCCGCUAAAGGUAGAUGAUUCUUGUUUAUUUGUUUAUUUUCUUAUUUUAGAAGGGAGAUGGCUUUAUUUUUAGAUUCCGGAUAUAUACAGUAUAAAGAUAAAUUAUUUGUUCUAUGUUCAAAUCUUACCUUAGUGGGGAAAUCGAGAGCAUGUUCACAUUAUUAGUCUUCUUUUCCUUUUGGCUUGUGUUAGGGUAUCCUAACUGAAUUUUUCAGUUAGUUUUAUUUGAUUAUUAGCAAUUAGAGUCUAGUAUUUAGUGUUGCUACCGUGAUGUAUUUUCAUAUGUCCUGUAUUUUGCUAAGCAGGUACUUUAGAACUUCUAAGAUCAUAAGUAAUUGUAAUUGUAAGGUAUUGUCAUCUCUCCAAUGAGGAAGUAAAAAAGGAAUAACCAUGAGAAAGAAUACAAAUUCAGAAUUUGCAUAAAAGUCUUAGAAAAUGAAUUACCAAAAUGAUUUUGGAAUUGUUUGUGUCUCAGUAAAAAGAAAUUAAAUGAGUCUUUUAAGUCCCUUGGUGAAGUUUGCAGCCAGUUUGUAUAGCAGUUUGAUUAAAGAAGAUAUUGAAGCCUUAUUAUUAUUAGUAUUAUUUACGUUUCUUAAUUUGUAAUUUGUUAUAAUGAGAUCUGACAUUUUGUUCACUUUUGUCAUGGACCUACUAGAGGCAAUUUGAUCAAGAAGGCUAUGUAGUUCUAAUACAAGUCAUAUACGAGUAAAGUGUAGCAGAUCAAGAAUUUGAAAGUUCGAAGUAUCAAUCCUUAAAACAGUGCAGAGCAAAAAGUUGAAAUACAAGAAAUUUAUUUUCUUAGGGGUGGUUUAAAGACGUUUUAUGUACAUUGAACGCAUUUUUUCUCUUUUUAGGAGUUGUUAAAACGUUGCCAUACAAUUUGGAUGGUUUUAUUAUUCAUAUGAAUAUUGAUUAUUUAAUAUAGUUUUGAUUGUGUCGUA